rnacentral:lncRNA from 1 species
GCCCAGCAGAGGCGUGCUCGUUGAUAAAUCCUUUCUGGCAUGACUCCCAUCAUGCAGCGCUGCUGCCCUGAGCUAAGUUUCUAAAUAUCAACACAAAAAAGAUUAAGAUAUCAGUAACAAAGUCAAUCAUGCAUAUUAGUGUAUUGUAGACUACUUUUAAAAAAAAAUCAGAGCCGGGCAGUGGUGGCACAAGCCUGUAAUCCCAGCACUUGGGAGGCAAAGGCAGGAGAAUUUCUGAGUUCGAGGCCAGCCUGGUCUACAAAGUGAGUUCCAGGAUAGCCAGGGUUACAUAGAGAAACCCUGUCUCAAAAAAAAAAAAAAAAAACUUCUUAUUGGGCAUCUUGAUACAACCCCCACCCCCCCUGGAUCCUUUUUUCUGUUUUAAAAGUCUGUAUUUGAGGACUGGGCACAGUAGUGCAUACCUUUAAUCCCAGCACUCUGGGAGGAAGGCACAGGUGAGUUUCCGUGACUUUGAUGGCCUUCUCAGCCACAUAGCAAGUUCCAAGACAGCCAGAGAUAAGUAGAGAGACCCUGUCCCAAAAAUAAAAUAAUAAAUAAAUAAUAAUAAAAAAACAGAAGGAAAUCUACUUUUGAACCGUAACUAUUCUGUAUAUUAAAUAUUUUGUAUUGACAUUUUAUAAAGCUUUCUAUCAUGUUAGUAUAAAAUUGUAACAUUUAUUAAUAUAUAUAAAUUAUGAAAAUAAUGAGUUUCAUUAUGUCACUUUCAUACGUGUCCAUACUCUAUUUUAAUUCUGUUCGCCUUGUUACCAUCUCUUGUCUCCUACUGAUACUGUUUCUCUUCCCUACUAACUCACCUCUACUUUCACAUCAUUUUUGUCUGCCUCCCCUCACCCCGAGACAGAAUCUCACUAUGAAGCUCUAGCUGUUCUGGAGAUCACGAUGUAGACCAGGCUGGCCUUGAACUCACCAAGAUCUGCCUGCCUCUGCUUCCCAAGUGCUUGGAUUAAAUGCAUGUAUACCAGGCUGCUUAUUGUUAUUAUUAUUAUUAUUAUUAUUAUUAUUAUUAUUAUUAUUAACAACAACCCAACAAGUUUUAGUAGGUUUGUGUACAGGAUCAUGGAUAAGUGUUUAUUUAUAGGGUCAUACCUUACCAGUGGCUAUACCACUGAAGUGUUCUCUCCCAUCAGCCAUCAGUGCAUAUAAAUUGUCACGGAAGGGUGGAUCCGAGGAGGGCCUCCCUACUCCCUGCCAGGACGUUGAUGGACUCCAUCUUCUGCAGACACGAAUGUCUGUCACGCCAGAGCUCAGGAUGUGCAUCCCGGCGGCUCCCCCAUUUCUCAGGUUCCGUUCUGCCCCUUCUUCUGCAGUGUUCCCUGUGUGUGUGUGUGUGGGGGGGGGGUGCUCUCGACAUCUUGUUCCUCGCUAAAGCAUUCAUCGGUGUCUUUUCUCAGUGCACUGACCAGUGUCUCUGGAAUAAUCACUGCAAGAAGGAAGCCUCUCUCACCAAAGCUGACAACAAUACUAACCUGAGGCAGAAACACAGUUGCUGAGUAGGCAGUUUGAUGGGCACAUCAUGUCCCUUAGCAAAACCGCAGCAGACAUUUCCGUACCAGAACCUGUGGCGGGUUUAGCGAGACAAUGAAGGGAUACGUUCUGCCAACGACAUUCAGUUGUUUGGAAAGGGCUCUUUGGUUGAGCCUUGGAUGAGACCACAGCCCCAGUCAACAUCUGGCGUGCAGCCCCAGGAGUGCCUGAGGCUGCUAAAUCAGCCAAGCCAACAGCAGCCACCUGACCUGGAGAUAUUAGAGAUAAGUGCGUGCUGUCUACCGCUGCCCCGUUUGAAGUGGUUUGUAGCACUCACUAAAACAUGUUGGAUUGAUUACACAAACAAACAAGAGGCUGGUUAAGUACUGGUUAAGCACACUGCUUUUUUUUUUUUUUUUUUAGCCGACUGAGUAUUCUAGCCACUGACUAGAAGGUUAAACUCCAUCACCACAUUGCCUUGUGGUCUAGUGACCUACAUCACCACUGACUGGUGUGGUAAGCUCCCUUCCUGCCUGGCUGACAGUGACACACCCAACACUUGCUUCUCCAUGUUUUCUUCACUAACCAUCUCCUCUUCAGGUGUCUCUGUGGACCCGUGGGUGAAGUCCUAGAGAAGCAUGCACCAGCCUGAGAAGUGCACCUAUCUGUUCAAUAGACCUGAGAGUCAUUUUUCUGACACUGGGCAACACUGGGCAGUGAAGAGAGUCAGAUUCCCAUCACGCUCCGGGACAUGUUCCAUGAAGCCCCCUCAUCUGUCAUGUUCUCAGAGGUCAGUGAAACAGAAGAAUCAGAAAUGCUGAUUGGUCAGAGUGAUGGACUCAGAAAUGACUGGUCAAGGUUGUCACUGCAGUCCUGACAGAACUUCUGUAGACCAUUCCUUGAAGGUGCUGCUGGCCGAAGGAUCACCCUGCUCCCAGCAGCCUUGCUCUGGGGCUGGUCACUCGUUCCUUUCCAGUCAGACUGCUGCUCCACACUAGGUAGACUGAGCCAAACAUGAAUGUUGUUGGGAUUUACAAAUAAACUUGAACCUUUCAAAUUUUUGCCAGCUCCGGGAUCCUACCUUUUACAUCUUGAGUCUUCUUGAGUCUGAUAUCCAGAGCUACUGACUUCCUGAACUUGAGUGUCAAUCAGACAUCACGUGUACCCAGCUUUCCAAUGUACUCUCAGUGUCACCCCCUCUUCCUUUGCCCAAAUGCAGCGGUUCUCAACCUCCCCAGUUCUGCGACCUUUUAAUACAGUCCUUCCUG